ACUGAAACACCAGAUCCUGUAUGAUCACCAAAGUUAAGCAAUGUUGAACCUGGUCAGUACCUAGAUGGGUCACUGCUUGGGAAUACCAGAUGCUGUAA